rnacentral:lncRNA from 1 species
CUUUAAAGUUGUCACUUUAGUUAUUAGUUUUUAAGUCUGGCUAUAUAUAUAUGUGUGUGUGUGUGUGUGUGUGUGUGUAUUCUGCAAGCAAAAGUGUUCAAAAACAUGGGGGGGUGCUAGGAUAAAGAUAAAUUGAGUAUUUGGCUGGUCAUGGGAUCUCAGCAUGAUCUCAACAAUUUUGGUAAAUAUAUCUGCUGAUAUGGCAUUGAUUUAUUUGUGUAAAACAUUUUUAACGAAGAAAACAACUCAAGAUUGCACCUUUAAAUGUACCAACAUACUGGAAGCAGUUUAUUCAGCCUAGUUUCAUGUGUUACUUCCUCAGACAACGAUAAGGCUGUCUUUGGAUUCCGGAAUUUCCUGAGUGUUGUGAUAUCAAUUGUGCUGCUCUUUGUAUUCUUCAAAUUCUACCUUCACAAAAGAAAGCGUGAUGGAGAAGAUGGAGAAGAUGCAGAUUGUGUGUAUGUGAAUGUUCCUAUGCAUGUACACAGAAUGGAGACAAAACAACAGACCAGGGGUUGAAUAUGAAUGGCUGCAGUUUUAUGGACAAAUACUGUGUUAAAAUUAAAACCAGUAUACCACUACGAAGUAAGUAUAGUACGUACGUCGACU